CUGAGUGGUUGGAAUACCGUUGUGUUUGCACGUUGCCUCUCUGGAAAUGGCAGAGAGAAUAUAGAAUGGCGCACUGAUAUUAGAAACAUGCCUCUAGAAUCGCUACUCAAAAACGUUCUUCAAACCGUCUACCGUGGUUCUCAAACGUCAUAUCUGGAGUAACAACUACCACAUUUUAUUUUGUGUGUAGGCCUAGUGUGUACAUGGAUAUUUGCAUAAUGCAUGCAGAGCAGGGUCUAUUUCUUUCAACCAUCUCCAGGAGUGUGUAGACAAUUUGCGGUGAUAGGGCGCCUCGAGCGUUGAUUGGCGUUGAACUAUGAAGAGCCAUUUCUGAUGAUAGCGCAUUUGGGAGACUGUAAUCUAUCGAAAAUACGGUUUAGCAGCUACCAGAACCACACCUUGAAAGUUAUAUACUUGCUUGCGAAAGACUUGACUUGACUUUCUGGCUGCUAGGUGGAACAGCGUUUAUCAGCCCUCUGCAAAGUCUUAUUUGCUGUGGAUGGAGCCCCGUCUGGCGGACAGAAUCAGUACUGCACCAGCAGACGUGAAAGAAGACUGGUUUUAAAAAAAAAUAAUCCAAGAUGGCGACUUUGUGUGGUGGAGAAAGCAGGCACUCCUGUGGAUGUUUGGUACCCUCUAGUGGUCAUGUUGGUACGUCCAACCGGCCUCGCAAACGCAGACCAUGUUUAACCACGCCAGCCCAGGACCUCCACAUCCGGCUUCUUCACCUGUGGGAUCGUCUAAGACCAGCCACCCGGACAGCUGAUGAAAAUGUGGGUUUACAGAAGCAAAUAAUUUCUACAUAAACUGUCAGAAACCGUCUCAGGGAAGCUCAUCUGCGUGCUCAUCAUCCUCACCAGGGUCUUGACCUUGACCUGACUCCAGUUCGGCAUGAAAAAUAAGAUAUUUGAACAUUGUUUGAUUUACGUGUAAAGGCAGUAUCAAUAUGGAGAGAGGUUGGUUUAAUGCCCUAUGGGGAGGGGGAGCCAUGAGAGAUGAUUUCAGAAGUUUACAUACAAUAAGUUGACUGUGCCUUUAAACAGCUUGGAAAUUCCAGAAAAUUAUGUCGUGGCUUUAAAAGCUUCUGAUAGGCUAAUUGUCAUAAUUUGAGUCAACUGGAGGUGUACCUGUGGAUUUAUUUCAAGGCCUACCUUCAAACUAAGUAUGUCUUUGCUUGACAUCAUGGGAAAAUCAAAAGAAAUCAGCCAAGACCUCAGAAAAAAUUUGUAGACCUCCACAAGUCUGGUUCAUUUUUGGGAGCAAUUUCCAAACGCCUGAAGGUACCAUGUUCAUCUGUACAAACAAUAGUACGCAAGUAUAAACACCAUGGGACCACGCAGCCCUCAUACCGCUCAGGAAGGAGUUGGGUUCUGUCUCCUAGAGAUGAACGUACUUUGGUGAGAAAAGUGCAAAUCAAUCCCAGAACAACAGCAAAGGACCUUGUGAAGAUGCUGGAGGAAACGGGUACAAAAGUAUCUACAUCCACAGUAAAACGAGUCCUAUAUCGACAUAACCUGAAAGGCUGCUCAGCAAGGAAGAAGCCACUGCUCCAAAACCGCCAUAACAAAGCCAGACUAUGGUUUGCAACUGCACAUGGGGACAAAGAUUGUACUUUUUGGAGAAAUGUCCUCUGGUCUGAUGAAACCAAAAUAGAACUAUUUGGCCAUAAUGACCAUUGUUAUGUUUGAAGGACAAUGGGGAAGGUAGGCAAGCCGAAGAACACCAUCCCAACCGUGAAGCACGGGGGUAGCAGCAUCAUGUUGUGGGGGUGCUUUGGUGCAGGAGGGACUGGUGCACUUCACAAAAUAGAUGGCAUCAUGAGGGAGGAAAAUCAUGGGUAUAUAUUGAAGCAACAUCUCAAGACAUCAGUCAGGAAGUUAAAGCUUGGUCGCAAAUGGGUCUUCCAAAUGGACAAUGACCCCAAGCAUACUUCCAAAGUUGUGGCAAAAUGGCUUAAGGACAACAAAGUCAAGGUAUUGGCGUGGCCAUCACAAAGCCCUGACCUCAAUCCUAUGGACAAUUUGUGGGCAGAACUGAAAAAGCGUGUGCGAGCAAGGAGGCCUACAAACCUGACCAGUUACACCAGCUCUGUCAGGAGGAAUGGGACAAAAUUUACCCAACUCAUUGUGGGAAGCUUGUGGAAGGCUACCUGAAACGUUUGUCCCUAGUUAAACAAUUUAAAGACAAUUAAAUGUCAGGAAUUGUGAAAAACUGAGUUUAAAUGUAUUUGGCUAAGGUGUAUGUAAACUUCUGACUUCAACUGUAUGUAUUGCUGCUUUCAUUUUGUGUUUUUGUUUCGUUACAAGUUUUACCAGAUUGGGAUACUUGAGUGUGGGAUUAUGCGAGGGGUUAGGGUGCUAACUUCAUGAUCUGGUAACUCUUGAGAGAGGUCACCAGUAGAAUAAGGGAGAAAUGACUAAUGUUGAAAAUGGUUUCAGCAAUAACAGUAUGUUGUUAUGCUCUACACACUGCGAACAAUUUAGACUAAGGAUCCAUUGAGAUACUGAUCUUUCAUUUGCAGGCCAUUCGUGACAGGAUAACAGGGACAAAGGGGGGCUGUAAUGAGAAGAGUAAUUACCGGCAAUAAAAGGUUUCAUUUAUAAAUGUACAUUCUAACAGGGAUGAUGUGUGCUCAGUUUAGAAGCUGGAAUUUGAGUCCUAUACUCAAAGUAAGCACUAAGGACUGUAAUUUUAAAUUUGGGUUGGAUAAUUUAUAAAAUAAUUUAGUUAUGAUUUGGAUACAGUGAGAGAGAGUUGCUACAAAACGGUGAGGGGUGGAUUCUAAAAUUUAUUUGGCCAAGGGAGGCUCCAGAAACCUUAUCUGUAAGUGUCCUCCGACAGGGAGAUUGUUUGUUAGUGAAAUCACUGGAUGGUAACUUUCAUGGUUGACCCAAGCUUUUUUGUUCUCUUUUGUUUUACCGUGUAAUCAGAAUUUGAAUGUUAAAUGCAUUAAUGGGUGGUGUGAAAUUAUUAAACAUGUACUUUUUUUCUCU